GGGGGUGUAGCUCAGCAGUACAGUGCAUGCUUAACAUGCACGAGGUCCUGGGUUCAAUCCCCAGGAUCUCCA
rnacentral:tRNA from 1 species